rnacentral:rRNA from 1 species
UACGGAGGAUGCAAGCGUUAUCCGGAUUCAUUGGGUUUAAAGGGUGCGUAGGCGGCUUUUUAAGUCAGUGGUGAAAUCUUGCCGCUUAACGGUAAAAUUGCCAUUGAUACUGAAAAGCUUGAGUACAUUUGAGGUAAGCGGAAUGUGUAGUGUAGCGGUGAAAUGCUUAGAUAUUACACAGAACACCAAUUGCGAAGGCAGCUUACUAAACUGUUACUGACGCUGAUGCACGAAAGCGUGGGGAGCGAACAGGAUUAGAUACCCUGGUAGUCCACGCCGUAAACGAUGCUCACUCGCUGUUUGCGAUACACAGCAAGCGGCCAAGCGAAAGCAUUAAGUGAGCCACCUGGGGAGUACGAUCGCAAGGUUGAA